rnacentral:rRNA from 1 species
GCGGCCUAUCAGGUAGUAGGUGGUGUAACGGACCACCUAGCCUAAGACGGGUACGGGCCUUGAGAGAGGGAGCCCGGAGAUGGGUUCUGAGACACGAACCCAGGCCCUACGGGGCGCAGCAGGCGCGAAACCUUCGCACUGCGCGAAAGCGCGACGAGGGGAGCCCGAGUGCCUCUCCAUUUCGGGGAGGCUUUUCACAAGCCUAAAAAGCUUGUGGAAUAAGGGCUGGGCAAGACGGGUGCCAGCCGCCGCGGUAAUACCCGCAGCUCAAGUGGUGGUCGCUUUUAUUGAGCCUAAAACGUUCGUAGUCGGCCUUGUAAAUCCCUGGGUAAAUCGGGGCGCUUAACGUUUCGAAUUCCGGGGAGACUGCAAGGCUAGGGACCGGGCGAGGUCAGAGGUACUUUCGGGGUAGGAGUGAAAUCCUGUAAUCCCGAAGGGACCACCUGUGGCGAAAGCGUCUGACUUGAACGGCUCCGACGAUGAGGAACGAAGGCUAGGGGAGCAAACCGGAUUAGAUACCCGGGUAGUCCUAGCUGUAAACUCUGCCCGCUUGGUGUGGCUUGUACUUCGGGUGCAGGCUGUGCCGGAGCGAAGGUGUUAAGCGGGCUGCUUGGGGAGUACGGCCGCAAGGUUGAAACUUAAAGGAAUUGGCGGGGGAGCACCGCAACGGGAGGAUGCGUGCGGUUUAA